CCUACGGGAGGCAGCAGUGAGGAAUAUUGGUCAAUGGGCGCGAGCCUGAACCAGCCAAGUCGCGUGAGGGAUGAAGGUUCUAUGGAUCGUAAACCUCUUUUAUAAGGGAAUAAAGUGUGGGACGUGUCCUAUUUUGUAUGUACCUUAUGAAUAAGGAUCGGCUAACUCCGUGCCAGCAGCCGCGGUAAUACGGAGGAUCCGAGCGUUGUCCGGAUUUAUUGGGUUUAAAGGGUGCUGAGGUGGCCUUUUAAGUCAGCGGGGAAAGUCUGUGGCGCAACCAUAGAUUUGAUGUUGAAACUGGGGGGCUUGAGUAUGUUUGAGGCAGGCGGAAUGCGUGGUGUAGCGGUGAAAUGCUUAGAUAUCACGCAGAACCCCGAUUGCGAAGGCAGCCUGCCAAGCCAUGACUGACGCUGAUGCACGAAAGCGUGGGGAUCAAACAGGAUUAGAUACCCCAGUAGUC
rnacentral:rRNA from 1 species